UACGGGGGGGGCAAGCGUUGUUCGGAAUUACUGGGCGUAAAGGGCUCGUAGGUGGCCAACUAAGUCGGACGUGAAAUCCCUCGGCUUAACCGGGGAACUGCGUCCGAUACUGGUUGGCUUGAGUUUGGGAGAGGGAUGCGGAAUUCCCGGUGUAGCGGUGAAAUGCGCAGAUAUCGGGAGGAACACCGAUGGCGAAGGCAGCUCUCUGGGACGGUACUGACGCUGAGACGCGAAAGCGUGGGGAGCGAACAGG
rnacentral:rRNA from 1 species